rnacentral:rRNA from 1 species
AGAGUUUGAUCCUGGCUCAGGAUGAACGCUGGCGGCGUGCUUAACACAUGCAAGUCGAACGAACCUUCGGGUUAGUGGCGGACGGGUGAGUAACGCGUGGGAAUCUGCCCUCAGGAGGGGGAUAACGACUGGAAACGGUCGCUAAUACCCCAUAUGCCGAGAGGUGAAAUGAAUUUCGCCUGAGGAUGAGCCCGCGUCUGAUUAGCUAGUUGGUGGGGUAAGAGCUCACCAAGGCGACGAUCAGUAGCUGGUCUGAGAGGAUGAUCAGCCACACUGGGACUGAGACACGGCCCAGACUCCUACGGGAGGCAGCAGUGGGGAAUUUUCCGCAAUGGGCGAAAGCCUGACGGAGCAACGCCGCGUGAGGGAUGAAGGCCUCUGGGCUGUAAACCUCUUUUCUCAAGGAAGAAGAUCUGACGGUACUUGAGGAAUAAGCCACGGCUAAUUCCGCGCCAGCAGCCGCGGUAAUACGGGAGUGGCAAGCGUUAUCCGGAAUCAUUGGGCGUAAAGCGUCCGCAGGUGGCUUUGUAAGUCUGCCGUUAAAGCGUGGAGCUUAACUCCAUUUCAGCGGUGGAAACUACAAAGCUUGAGUGUGGUAGGGGCAGAGGGAAUUCCCGGUGUAGCGGUGAAAUGCGUAGAUAUCGGGAAGAACACCAGUGGCGAAGGCGCUCUGCUGGGCCAUAACUGACACUCAUGGACGAAAGCCAGGGGAGCGAAAGGGAUUAGAUACCCCUGUAGUCCUGGCCGUAAACGAUGAACACUAGGCGUCGGGGGAAUCGACCCCCUCGGUGUCGUAGCCAACGCGUUAAGUGUUCCGCCUGGGGGGGUACGCACGCAAGUGUGAAACUCAAAGGAAUUGACGGGGGCCCGCACAAGCGGUGGAGUAUGUGGUUUAAUUCGAUGCAACGCGAAGAACCUUACCAGGGUUUGACAUCCUGCGAACCCCUGAGAAAUCGGGGGGUGCCUUCGGGAACGCAGUGACAGGUGGUGCAUGGCUGUCGUCAGCUCGUGUCGUGAGAUGUUGGGUUAAGUCCCGCAACGAGCGCAACCCACGUCUUUAGUUGCCAGCAUUCAGUUGGGCACUCUAGAGAGACCGCCGGUGAUAAACCGGAGGAAGGUGUGGAUGACGUCAAGUCAUCAUGCCCCUUACAUCCUGGGCUACACACGUACUACAAUGCUACGGACAAAGGGCAGCAAACUCGCGAGAGCAAGCAAAUCCCAUAAACCGUGGCUCAGUUCAGAUCGUAGGCUGCAACACGCCUACGUGAAGGAGGAAUCGCUAGUAAUCGCAGGUCAGCAUACUGCGGUGAAUACGUUCCCGGGCCUUGUACACACCGCCCGUCACACCAUGGAAGUUAGCCACGCCCGAAGUCGUUACUCCAACCCUUGUGGAGGAGGAUGCCGAAGGUGGGGCUGAUGACUGGGGUGAAGUCGUAACAAGGUAACC